CUUUACCUACGGGAGGCAGCAGUGAGGAAUAUUGGUCAAUGGACGGAAGUCUGAACCAGCCAUGCCGCGUGCAGGAAGACGGCUCUAUGAGUUGUAAACUGCUUUUGUACAAGGGUAAACCUGAAUACGUGCAUUCAGCUGAAAGUACUGUACGAAAAAGCAUCGGCUAACUCCGUGCCAGCAGCCGCGGUAAUACGGAGGAUGCGAGCGUUAUCCGGAUUUAUUGGGUUUAAAGGGUGCGUAGGCGGUCCGGAAAGUCAGUGGUAAAAGCCCGG
rnacentral:rRNA from 1 species